rnacentral:lncRNA from 1 species
AAGGUCCCCAUGUGUAGUUAUCCCAGUGAGGAGGGACGUUCGAAUUUUUUAUAAGCUUAAAUUUAAACCUUAUGUGAUAGACAUUUAUUUCUGAAAUAAUAAGGCCAACAAUCUAAUUAAAAAAAAAAAAGAAUAUAUAUGAUAUUUAAGUAUUUAUACGAUCAAAUAAUUUGAUCAUACUAUAUAUAGUAGGAAAAUUAUUCACCAUUACAUAUUCAACCACCAAAAGGUGGAAGAUAAUGGAUCAUGGACACUUAUAUUUUGCAGCAACAGUACUGGUACAGUGGUGCAACACAUUCUCCUCCUUUGGGGUAAAAUUUCAAGCAGUAAUUGUUGCAAUCCCCAGGAAUGUCCUCGCACUUCCCUUGGCAUAUGUAGGUUGCUUUCCCUACAAUAAUAAAAAUAUCAUAAACAAAUAAAAAAUAAAAUCAAGAGAGAGGAUCAUCAUGUCAACCUUUCUCAUAGAAAAAGAAAUAUUUGGUAUAUUCAUAUGCAUUUCUUUUAUUAAUAUAAUAUCAUCAACAGCUAAGAAAUUUUUACAUACUGAUUAUAUAAAGAGAGAUACACAGAAAGAUGGAUUAGUCUAAAUUUUUUCAUUCACUAUUGAAACUAUAAUAAAUUUUUUAGCCGGUGUGUUAAGCUUGGAUCCUUUAUAUCAAAACAAAAUCUUAGUAAUCAGUAAUUGUUCUUGAAUCAAAGGGUUUAUCUUUGUCUAUUUUUAUUUGAGUCGAAUUCAUAACUGUUUGAAUUGUGUAAUCUCCAAUUAUUGAGAUUGGUAAUCGACCCAAAGCAAUUUGAUUAUAAUUCAAUUCGUGACGAUCAUAAGUAGAAAGUUCAUAUUCUUCGGUCAUUGAUAAACAAUUUGUUGAACAAUAAUCGACACAGUUACCACAAAAUACAUUAGUCGGUAUCAUCUCAACUACUGUUAAAAUCAGUAAAAAUAUUUUGGGCAUCAACUAUAUAUUCACGCGUAUUUACUUUUGGAAAAAAUUGUUGUAGUUUUUGCUGAGCAGAAAAUUUCUACUUACUGGCCAGAAUGCGCACACGAGAGAGAGAGAGAGAGAGAGAGAGAGAGAGAGAGAGAGAGAGAGAGAGAGAGGAAUUACCACCAUGAGCAAAGAGAAGAACAAGAAAUGUAAGAACCAUGAAGAGCUUGCUCCAAAUGGUGAGGAAAGUGAGGGACAUCUUGUGUUGUCACUUUGCUCUACU